AACUUUUAACAACGGAUCACUUGGUUCUCGCAUCGAUGAAGAACGCAGCGAAUUGCGAUAUGUAAUGUAAAUUGCAGAAUUCAGUGAAUCAUCGAAUCUUUGAACGCACCUUGCGCCCUUUGGUAUUCCGAAGGGCAUGCCUGUUUGAGUGUCAUUAAAUUCUCAACUUUGAAAGAAUUAAAUUAAUUCUUUUGAAGCUUGGACUAUGGAGGCCUGCCGGCAUAAAUAUGAUCAGCUCCUCUUAAAUGCAUUAGCAGAACCUUUUAAAGGACUAGCUUCAGUUUGAUAAUCCUAUCUAUGCUGUUGCUGUUGACCUUUGUGUGUUCAGCUUCUAAUGGUCUUUUAGACUGUCUCUAUGAGGCAUACACUUUUAAGCUUGACCUCAAAUCAGGUAGGACUACCCGCUGAACUUAAGCAUAUCAAUAAGCGGAGGCU
rnacentral:misc_RNA from 1 species